GCUGGUUCUGUUUGUGUGUGACGUAAUGCAGCAGAUUUUCACGGUUUAUCCGUGGGCCCAGGACUGUGGUGUUCCCCGGCAGGCCAGAGGCCGUGGGCGAUGGACUUCAGGAAUUACAACUGUCUCGUCAUAAAUACCUGGCCAGUGAGAUGGAGUUGUACCACUUCUAUCAGUCCAGACAUUUGUCAAAGAAGUGCAGUUUAUGAAUGACCAAGUGGAUGAAGCGGCCACACUCUCACCGGUCCAGAUAUUCCUCAAAGAAGAAGAAGGUGCAUAUUGUAAGGCAGAAGAGCCUGUGCUGGUCUCACUUGUCCCAGUGCUUCUCAAAGAAGAACAUGUGCUUGAUGAAUCGCCGGAGGACUUUGAAGUUGGCAGUCACCCAUUGCUAAUAAAUCUGAGUUUCUGAAGUGAAAGUCCAAAGAAGAGAAGACAGCAAGAAGUAGCUAUUUGUGUUUUUCAUGGUUUGUAGGCCUACUGGCGAAACUUGCUACGUAAAAAAAAAGUGAGUAACGCAUCAAGCUUGGUACCUCUAUGGUGAUGUGGAAAUCCGAGCAAUGUUAAUAAAGAAAUUAAUUUUGUG
rnacentral:misc_RNA from 1 species